rnacentral:pre_miRNA from 1 species
UAUACACCCUUCGUACUAAAAAGGAUGUCGCAAUUUUUUUAAAAUAUGGAUGUAUUUAGACAUGUUUUAGUGUCUAGAUACAUCCAAAUUUAAACAAAUUUCAGACAAAUUUUUUUGGACGGAGGAGUUGACGU